rnacentral:rRNA from 1 species
GUAGGUGGCAAGCGUUGUCCGGAAUUAUUGGGCGUAAAGCGCGCGCAGGCGGUCCUUUAAGUCUGAUGUGAAAGCCCACGGCUCAACCGUGGAGGGUCAUUGGAAACUGGGGGACUUGAGUACAGAAGAGGAAAGCGGAAUUCCAAGUGUAGCGGUGAAAUGCGUAGAGAUUUGGAGGAACGCCAGUGGCGAAGGCGGCUUUCUGGUCUGUAACUGACGCUGAGGCGCGAAAGCGUGGGGAGCAAACAGGAUUAGAUACCCUGGUAGUCCACGCCGUAAACGAUGAGUGCUAAGUGUUAGGGGGUUUCCCGCCCCCCUUAGUGCUGCAGCUAACGCAUUAAGCACUCCGCCUGGGGGAGUACGGCCGCAAGGCUG